GCUCUCCUGAUUGCACUGAGAUGUAUGGACACUGUUUGGCUCCCCUGGAAAAGCACAGGCCCUUUAGGGGGACGGUCCAGACAUUCUUCAAGUUUGCGACACCCCCCAUGGGGUCUGCACAGACUGCUCUCUACCAAGAUCUCCAGAGCCUCACAUCGGUCAGUGCCCCCAAAGAGGCAGAGUCCGGCUUCAGGCCUCUAGCCUUCUCUCUUUUGGGGAAGAAAAUACCUCUACUCCGAAGGCAGCCAGCACAUAUUUUACUCACAACAGUCAGCAGAUGGCUGUGGAUCCCAGGAAUCACAUCAGGACAAAGCUCGCUGUGCAUUUUCCAUCACUGGUAG
rnacentral:lncRNA from 1 species